CCAACCCCAACAGGCUUGCAGUGCUGACCAUCAAAGCCCUGCUGAGCCGUCUGCGGUGCGAGACUGUGCUGAUGGCCAUGGAACGCAAGCGAGGCUGGGACACGCUCCUCCACGCUGACACCCACCACUACGCGGUGGGUCUGCUGGCCAGGGAGAUGGGCUGUGCCUGCACACCCUUGUGUUGCGGCAUUGUAUGCUGCCUCCUGGAGCUGCUCAGCGAAGAGAUGUGCCCCUGGCACCUCCCUGCCAUGACGUUCCUUGUGGAGGUGAGCCUGAUGGCGAGCG